rnacentral:rRNA from 1 species
CCUACGGGUGGCAGCAGUCGAGAAUCAUUCACAAUGGGGGAAACCCUGAUGGUGCGACGCCGCGUGGGGGAAUGAAGGUCUUCGGAUUGUAAACCCCUGUCAUGUGGGAGCAAAUUAAAAAGAUAGUACCACAAGAGGAAGAGACGGCUAACUCUGUGCCAGCAGCCGCGGUACUACAGAGGUCGCAAGCGUUGUUCGGAAUCACUGGGCGUAAAGCGUUCGUAGGCGGUUUCGUAAGUCGUGUGUGAAAGGCGCGGGCUCAACCCGCGGACGGCACAUGAUACUGCGAGACUAGAGUAAUGGAGGGGGAACCGGAAUUCUCGGUGUAGCAGUGAAAUGCGUAGAUAUCGAGAGGAACACUCGUGGCGAAGGCGGGUUCCUGGACAUUAACUGACGCUGAGGCACGAAGGCCAGGGGAGCGAAAGGGAUUAGAUACCCUGGUAGUC